rnacentral:rRNA from 1 species
GAUGAACGCUGGCGGCGUGCCUAAUACAUGCGAGUCGAGCGAACGGACGAGAAGCUUGCUUUUCUGAUGUUAGCGGCGGACGGGUGAGUAACACGUGGAUAACCUACCUAUAAGACUGGGAUAACUUCGGGAAACCGGAGCUAAUACCGGAUAAUAUUUUGAACCGCAUGGUUCAAAAGUGAGAGACGGUCUUGCUGUCACUUAUAGAUGGAUCCGCGCUGCAUUAGCUAGUUGGUAAGGUAACGGCUUACCAAGGCAACGAUGCAUAGCCGACCUGAGAGGGUGAUCGGCCACACUGGAACUGAGACACGGUCCAGACUCCUACGGGAGGCAGCAGUAGGGAAUCUUCCGCAAUGGGCGAAAGCCUGACGGAGCAACGCCGCGUGAGUGAUGAAGGUCUUCGGAUCGUAAAACUCUGUUAUUAGGGAAGAACAUAUGUGUAAGUAACUGUGCACAUCUUGACGGUACCUAAUCAGAAAGCCACGGCUAACUACGUG